GGACCAAGGAGUCUAGCGUGUGCGCGAGUCAUUGGGAAUAACUAAACCUAAAGGCGCAAUGAAAGUAACGGUUCGCUUCAUGUGAACUAAGGGAAGAUGGUCGGUCUCCAUGACUGACCCGCAUUCCCGGGGCGCCUCAUUCUCAUUGCGAGAGGAGGCGCACCAAGAGCGUACACGCUGGGACCCGAAAGAUGGUGAACUA
rnacentral:rRNA from 1 species